rnacentral:lncRNA from 1 species
AUGGUCUGGUUUUGUUUUAGGAGUGUUUUUCUGACAAUUGCUUUAUUAUUAUUAUUAUUAUUAUUAUUAUUAUUAUUAUUAUUAUUAUUAUUAUUAUUAUUAUUAUUAUUAUUAUUAUUAUUAUUAUUAUNUUAUUAUUAUUAUUAUUAUUAUUAUUAUUAUUAUUAUUAUUAUUAUUAUUAUUAUUAUUAUUAUUAUUAUUAUUAUUAUUAUUAUUAUUAUUUUCAGAUGAGGAGCAGAGCAGUCAGCAAGAAGAUCUCCUGUCCCUCACAGCUGGGGAAUGAAGGAAGCAAGUCACCAUGUCCAGGUCUUGUGAAUUUACCCUUUAGUUAAUGGUUCUCUGGAAGUUUGUUCAUUUCUUCUCCAUUUGUGAGCCAGCAGACAGGGGAACAGAAUCUGGCUAUGUGUGUGACUUUAAAAGGUACCGCUGAAUUGCAAAGAAAGACAUCUUAUGAUUUGUCUUACUGAGAUGCAUUGGAAACCAGAUUGAAAGUAUAUUUUUGUUUUUCAGGGGCUGUAGCAUUGAGGCAGUACAGACUAGAGCCUGUUAGCCUAUCCUAGUUCCUGUGCGCAGAUGAGCUUGAAUAGUUCUUCCAUGUUGCAUCCAGUUAGUAAGGAGGGUAUACAAGCAUGCUGAAAUUGGAAGGAAAACAACCCUCAUUUGCUCAUCCUCCACAGACCAGUCAGUGCUCUGCUCUUCACCAGCCCUCUCCGAGGACUAUAGGAACGAGCAGGGUGCCCACAAUGUUCCCUGUGGUUUGUUGGCUGCCAGCUGGAGCUGCUGGCUUGGUGUCUGCAUUGUGCUUCUAUAGCUUAAGAAGAAGGCAUCAGUUGUUGCUCUCACCAGGAUGCCUGCUGCUCUGUUGGAUGUCCCUAGGGGCUCCUCAGCAGUGAUUUCAAGCUUGAUUUCCAGCUGCAUGGAUGUGCGCAAAGUAAUAGCAUGGCCCUACUCCUGCCGGGAAUUUCCCAGGUACAAAUGUUGCCAAGGCUUCUAGAAGGUGUGGAGUUUGCUGCAUGUGCUCUGGUCAGGUGUAAAGGAGAAAUCCAGUCCUCUUGAGAUUUAUUUCUCCUGAAAGCUCUAGAAACCAGGAACAAGUAUAUAAAUUGCUUGGAUUUCACUGGGGAAAACCUUCUGGGCUGAAGACUCAGUAAGGGUUGUGAAACACUGGAACAGGCUGCUCAGGGAGAUGAUUGCCUUAUACUUUGUGAUGUUCAAAUUAGACUUGGAAAGGGCUCUGAGCACCUGAUCUAGCUGUAGGUGUUCCUGUUCAUUGCAGGAGAGUUGGACUGAAUGACCCUUAAAGGUCCCUUCCAACUCAAAGAGUUCUGUGAAGAGAAGUUCAGAAG